GGGGAUGUAGCUCAGAUGGUAGAGCGCUCGCUUAGCAUGCGAGAGGUACUGUGGGAUCGAUACCCAGCUUCUCCA
rnacentral:tRNA from 1 species